rnacentral:pre_miRNA from 1 species
AGUGGUAUAGCUAGGUCAUAUGGUGGUCUCAUUACUGUUCUUUUGAGAAAUUUCCAUAUUGCUUUCCAAACUAAUUGUACUAAUUUGCAAUUCCACCAGCAAU